rnacentral:lncRNA from 1 species
AGGGAGGUACAAGGUAUCCCAAGUCCUACAAGACGCUGCGGAUGCUGGUCUUUUUGGUAUGUCGCACAAGUGCUUUUGUUGAAGGUUUCUGAAGAUAAAGCGUUACGAAUUUCACCAGGAGUAUAAGAUGAACGUGUAUUUCAGGGAUUGGAUUUUGUGGAGGCAGAAGCUAGAAAAUAUGGUCUUCCGUUGAUAUUAAGUUUUGUUAACAGUUAUAAAGACUUUGGAGGGAGAUCACAAUACAUUAAGCAGGCUAGAAGUUUGGGCGUUCUGAUUUAAUAGUGAUGAUGAUUUCUACACUAACCCUAGGAUCAAAGGGUAUUCCAGGAACCAUGUUGAGGUAAGAACAAAAUUAAAUUUUGUUUUAUGUAUUCAAAUAUGUUUUUAUAAUGACUUAUAUGUAUAUUUAUGACUGCAGAGAGUUUAUAAAAGUAGCUAUAAAUAUAUGAAUUUGU